AUUGAACGCUGGCGGCAGGCUUAACACAUGCAAGUCGAGCGGGGGAAGGUAGCUUGCUACCGGACCUAGCGGCGGACGGGUGAGUAAUGCUUAGGAAUCUGCCUAUUAGUGGGGGACAACAUCUCGAAAGGGAUGCUAAUACCGCAUACGUCCUACGGGAGAAAGCAGGGGAUCUUUGGACCUUGCGCUAAUAGAUGAGCCUAAGUCGGAUUAGCUAGUUGGUGGGGUAAAGGCCUACCAAGGCGACGAUCUGUAGCGGGUCUGAGCGGAUGGUCCGCCACACUGGGACUGAGACACGGCCCAGACUCCUCCGGGAGGCAGCAGUGGGGAAUAUUGGACAAUGGGGGGAACCCUGAUCCAGCCAUGCCGCGUGUGUGAAGAAGGCCUUAUGGUUGUAAAGCACUUUAAGCGAGGAGGAGGCUACUUUAGUUAAUACCUAGAGAUAGUGGACGUUACUCGCAGAAUAAGCACCGGCUAACUCUGUGCCAGCCGCCGCCGUAA
rnacentral:rRNA from 1 species